rnacentral:rRNA from 1 species
AAUAGCUUUAGGGCUAGCCUUGUGUAUUAACGUUGAGUGGUAGAGCACUGCUAGGGCUCUUCGGGCUUUACGCUCGAGACCCUCGCAAACUCCGAAUGCUUGACGCAGAAACACAGGAGUCAGAACGUGGGGGCUAAGCUCCACGCUCAAAAGGGAAACAGCCCAGAUCGCAGCUUAAGGUCCCAAAAUUCUAUCUUAGUGGUAAAGGUGGUGGCGUUGCUUAAACAGCGAGGCAGUUGGCUUAGAAGCAGCCAUCUGUUAAAGAAAGCGUAACAGCUCACUCGUCAAGCGACGCUGCGCCGAAGAUUCAACGGGGCUCAAGAUAGAUACCGAAAGCGCGGAUGCUGAUGCCUUGCGUUGGGAAUGACCAAGCACCAAUGACCAAUGACCAAUCAAUGACCAAGCACCAAUGACCAAUGACGACAUGUAGUCGUUUUGGACAUUUGGUAAUUGGGACCUGCCUGACGGCAGGCAAGUUUGUUUGGGAUUUGGGAUUUGGAAAUUGGUAUUUCCGACGCAAAGCGUCGGCGUGGUAGAGGAGCGUUUCGUCCGUCCGCCCGUAAAAGGGCGUGACAUUGGCAUUGAAGCUUUACUGUAAGGUAAGGUGGAGCGGACGAAAGUGAGAAUGGUGGCAUGAGUAGCACGAAACAAGGUGAGAACCCUUGUCACCGAAAACCCGAGGUUUCCUGGGCAAUGUCGAUCAUCCCAGGGUUAGCCGGGCCUAAGGCGAGGCCGAAAGGCGUAGUCGAUGGACAGCAGGUUGAUAUUCCUGCGCCGGUUAGAUAGUUGAUAGGGUGUGACGGAAUGUCUGAAUUUGCCAGGGGAUAUGACUUUCCCUGCGCAGUAAAUGUAGUUGAAACUUCUAGGCAAAUCCGGAGGUUCGUCCCGCUCUGCGGGACAACAGCGAAUUACUGCGGGAGCGUGCGGCCGCAAGGCCAAACCUCUGCAGAGAACGACGUUUCCCGGAAAAGCAUCAUAUCAUUGUCUAUUUAGCCGUCCGUACCGCAAACCAACACAGGUGGGUAGGUGUAAACGCACUAAGGUGAUCGGGAUAACCCUCGUUAAGGAACUCGGCAAUACAGUGUCCGUACGUUCGCAAUAAGGACUGCCCAUACACUAGGCAUAGCCACGAAGUGGCUGUGCACAUUUUCUCUUUAAGAGAAAAUGUGAUGCCUAAUAGGUGUGUGGGCCACAGCAAACGACCCCUGGCGACUGUUUACCAAAAACACAGGUCCCUGCUAACUCGCAAGAGGAUGUAUAGGGGCUGACGCCUGGCCAGUGCUGGAACGUUAAUGUUCGCCGUGAAAGCGGUGAACCCAAGCGCCAGUGAACGCCGGCGAUAACUAUUAAGAUUAGUAGUUGUAAAAUUUGGCCAUAUGCUGGAAAACCUGAAGUAUCCU